CUGGAGCCUGACUCCUCCCACACAUGAUCACAUGGUCGUGACAUCAUGAAAGGUCUUUUAGCCCAAUACUCUUCCACCUUCCACAUGCAUGCAGUGUCCAGCGGUGCCAGUGGAGGUUCCUACAAUAUAGGAUCCGCUCAGUGGAUAUCUUCUAUAUAAGACCCUUCUGAUUGACCCAUCAAGGAUGGACAGGGACAAGAUGGCGGAGAGUAUAAUAAAUCUCACCCUAGAGAUCCUCUUCCGGCUUACUGGAGAGGACUACACAGUAGUGAAGAAGACCUCUAGUGAGCACUGUCAGGACCCUGUGUCUGAAG